GAAAGGACAGAGCAAGGGCAGAAGAGGCAAAUCAGUAUGGCAAAGAAAACUUUUUCCUGGUGUUAACUGAGGGAGGCAUUUGUCAUGUUUCUUAUGGGAGGGGCGUGAUGGACAGUGACGAUUUCAAUUGUGGUUUUACAUAAAAUAUUCUUUUUUAUUUUUAGUUUUUUAAGAGAUAGGAUCUCACUCUGUCACUCAGGCUGUGGUGCAGUGGUGUGAGCAUAGAUCACAGCAUCAAACUACUGGGCUCAAGUGACCCUCCCACCUCAACCUCCUGAGCAGCUGGGGCUACAGAAUUUCCAGGCAGGCAUCAGACACCAGUUCACUGGGUUCCUCUCUAACAGAAGAAGAUUAAUGUAACCCGGCUGAUGGAAUUUCUGAAGAUGACUAACAAUUCUGGCAGAGCUGAUUGUAGUUAGGAGUCUUUCCUUUGGCAAGUGACUAAAGAUUGUACAGCCAGGAUUGGAAUCCAGACCUGGUGACUUCAAAUUCUGUCCUUUUAGUAUUUUGACCAAGGCUCUACCAAAGUGAACAGACUCCUUGUACUAAUACUUGGAAAUAAAUGUACUUAAGUGAUUUUCAGACACCUGAGGACCAUAGUGGAAGAGAAGAGCAGGAAGUUCUGAAAGAAGACAGUUUCAAAUAGAAAGGCAGCUGAAUUUCUGGGGCCCAAUACGAGGAGGAGGAACAAAGUAUUUGAUGGAGAAGUGGGCCGAUUUCUCUUAGCACGGUGUGCUGCCCUUGAACAUUAGACAAAAUCACUCAUGAUCAGUAUGCUCUAGAGCAGGCACCCUGACAGGUAUGCUCUGCAU